UUGCAUAUUUCCCAAAGAUUCACUUCUAAGUUUAGCUUGAAACCGUAAUAGAUAAGCAAGCAACAAGCUUAAGCCUUGAUAAGGUUGGAUUAACCUUAACAGAUUGGUAUCAGAGCCAGGUUGGCAAAGAAAGGCUAAAGCUUUAUCUGAAACUUUCAAGUUCCGCAAGAAAGUUUCUGGUUUUAUGGAAAGUUUCAAGCUUUAGAAAGAAAGAGGAAGUUUUACAAAGAAAGGUGUGAGUUUUGAAAAGAAAAGAGCUCGUUUGUAAGAAAGCUCAAAGCUUUGUCAAGGAAGUUGACAUCUUUACAAGGUAUGGCUUCGGGAAGUAAAGAUCUAGAGAAGUUUGAUGGGUUUGGAGAUUAUAUCUCAUGGAAAGUGAAGUUCCUGGACCAUCUAAAGGAUCUAGACUUGUUGGAAGGACUGAAAGAGGAAGUUUGCUUAGAGAAAGGUUCUGGAAAUUCUGGAUCUGACGAAGGAAGAGUUAAAGAUCUUGAAGAAUGUAAGAUCUUAGAAGAGAAGAAGAGAAAGGCUAGAGCUUUCAUCAUAGUAAGCGUUGGAGAUCAUGUCUUGAGAAAGAUCAUGAAGGAGAGAACAACUGCAGGUAUGAUGGAACUCUUAGAUAAGCUGUAUUUGUCUAAAUCUCAGCCUAGUCAUAGUAUGUCAAACCGCAUUCAGUCGCAACGUUUAUAUUUUAAGAGGAAGCUCUUUGAGUUUAAGAUGAGCAUAAACGGAUCUAUGAAGGAGAACAUAGAAGAGUUUUCAAGUAUACAGUACUUGUAGUGUCGGCUAAGGACUCUCUGUGGGUUCAAUGGGUGUACAAAAAUCUAAUUCGCAAGGAGACGUUUUGGUCGGUUAAAGAGAACACGUCUUUAGGAUCUUGGUUAUGGAAAAAGAUUCUAAAACAGAGAGACAAAGCUCGUUUAUUUCAUCAGAUGGAGGUACGCUCGGGAACAACUACCUCUUUUUGGCACGACCAUUGGAGUCCGCUUGGCAGGCUACAUCAACACUUGGGGUCUCGGGGAACAAUAGAUUUGGGGAUAGCGACUCAAGCGACGGUUGCAGAGGUUUUAGAUACUCACAGGAGAAAGAGACAUAGAGCAGAUUUUUUAAAUCAGAUUGAGAAUCACAUUGAGCUGGUUCGACAAGCUAGAAGCCAAGAGAGUGAUCGCUCAUUAUGGAAACAAAAAGAGGACAGCUUUAAAGGCUCUUUCUCUUCUCCAAAAACUUGGCAACAAAUCAGAACAAUAAGCAACGAAUGUGAAUGGUAUAGAGGGGUUUGGUUUCCGUCUUCCACUCCAAAAUAUUCAUUUGUCACAUGGUUAGCUUUUCACAAUAGACUAGCAACGGGUGAUAGGCUCUACAAAUGGAAUUCAGAAGCUCGGGCUACUUGCGUUUUCUGCGACGAGGAACUGGAGACGCGAGACCCCCUCUUUUUCUCGUGUCCCUAUUCUUCUCAAAUUUGGAUCGCUUUAGCAAAAGGACUUCUAAAUGGCAGAAACGUUUCGAGUUGGAGCUUAAUCACUCCUCACCUUCUUGACUCGUCUCAGCCAUAUCUCCAUGUUUUCACCCUUCGGUAUACGUUCCAAGCUUUGAUUCACAGUCUAUGGCGAGAGAGAAAUGGUAGGCGACAUGGUGAACCUGCAAUUCCGGCUUCGAAGCUAACUAAGCUCAUUGACAAAAACAUUCGGAAUAGAUUCAGCACACUUCAGAAGAUGGGGAACAAAAGACUUCAAGGUGGGUUGCAGUAUUGGUUUCAAACUCGAAGUUAGGACACAUGAUCAUCUCUCAGACUCUGUUUGCUCUCUCUAAAUUCAUGUUACAUUUAUUGUAAACAAUGGUUUUUUUGGUUGAAUAUAAUUUUACAUUCUUUCAAAAAAAAAAAAAAGAGUUUUCAAGUAUAGUAGCAGGUUUAGACAGGGAAGGUGAGAUUGUGUCUGAUGAGACAAAAGCUAUGGCGCUUCUCAUGUCUCUUCCUAAUCAGUUUAGUGAACUGAAGGAAACAAUGCAGAACAGUGGGAUAUCUCUAACAUUGGAUAAUGUUAUGAGAGCUAUCUACUCUAAAGAACAAGAGUUUGAUCAGUUUUGGGAACAAGCAAAAGAAAGAAAGGUGCUUGAUCAAAGAAUGAACCUAUCAAAACUGAGAGCAAACCAAGAGAAGGAAAAGAAGAUGAACAAAUCUAAGGCUAAAGGGAAGAAGAUUUGUUGGACCGACCAUAAGGAAGGUCACAGUUACAAGCAAUGUAAUCACUGCAAAGCUGAGAACAAGCUUGGUGAGCAAAGUCACAAAUCAGUCUGCAAGUUUGUAGGAUCAAACCGGUUGAAAGCAGAACUGAUGGUGAAAAAUGACGUGUCUCAUCUAAAUGAAAGGCUCGAGGAAAAGCUGGUGUUAUGCAGUGAAGAAGAAGCUCUUUCUCAAAGCAUAAAAGAGCUUAAGAAAGAACAGGUUGCUAAUGAGACUCCUUCAACAAUCAAAGGAGUCGGAAAGCUUCAUUAGAAGCUUGUGUUCUUGAUGGUCUUUCUUAUUAUUCACGAGAGACUAGUUAGAAAGGCUGCAGGAAGGUGAAACAUAUGUCUAAGGUUCAGACACGUUGUUUCAAGUAAGCAGUCAUGAAGUUCUAGUCGGAUACACAAAGUAAAAUGUGUAUGGUUUUAAGUCAGUGAACAAGAAUGUUUAACAACAGAGGUGGAGCCAAGUAAGAAGAGAUGCAGUGAAGUUCGUUGGUGUUGCUACAGGAGGAAUCUGUCUCUGCAAGAGUGUAGAGCACAUCUUUAGAUGUUUUUUGGAUUUCUCGUGGAACAAGUUUUCACUGCGGUUGGUUCUUCUUGUGUGUUUUGUUAGAUUUUUUGGAAAUCUGAGCAGAUGAUGGUUCAAAGAAGCAAGUUAAACAUGUGUAGCUCACUGUUAAAGAAAUUUCGUGGAUAGUUAGUGAGAAAGGAAGACUAAGAAAUCAAGAGCAGAGGAGUAUCAAAAUCGGUCAAGCUAAGUAUGGUCUCAUUUGAUGACAAAGAAGAAGAGUUAUCAGUCUUGAGAAGAAGCUUGUUAUUUUUUGAUAUGGGUACUGAAGUACAAGUUUCUGGAUCUCUAAAGGUUCAGAGAUGAUACAAGUAUGGUUGUGAGACGAGGUUAAUUCAAAGUUCUCAAUGGAUUCUUUAAGGAGAAUUUGAGAAGGGAAAGUGAGAGAAACAGUUGCAAGUGAUCAAUGCAUAGUCUGUUUCGGAGAAUCACUUCAAGAAGAAUGAAGUUAUUGUGCUUAAAGCACGAUGAAUGUGUCGUCUCAAAUACUGGUUGCAUCAGAAGAAGAUCAAUUUCGUUUUUUGGAUUAGUUUUCUCAAGGAAUCGCUUGCAGGAACAAGUGAGUUUUCAUCAGGGUUCGAAGUCUGAAACUGAUGAAUAAAGAGAAGUUCAAGUUCUUGGUUUAAGAACAGUUCCAAUGGAGAUCUCUGAAGCGUUUUCACAAGGAAGAGUGAUGGUUGACGAGAGAUUCGGUUCAGGUCAGAAAUUGGUAAUAGAUGCAGAUGUCGAGCUGUUUUCAAGCAUACCGGGUUUAGGUUUUGCAGGUUAUUUCAGCUUGGGAAAGUGACAUCAUAUUCCUAAGAAUUGAUGUGGAAGUUGCUGCAAAGGGAAUGUCUCUUGAUGAUCACAAGUAUUGGUGAUAAGAGACAAGAAUCAAAUAGAACGAGUAGUAGGUGAAACUACUGAUGGGUUAUUUUGAUAAGAUGUGAGUCUUAAAAUUCACAUCUGUUUUGAGAUGAAUCAAGCUUGGGGUAAAGCUUGGUCUUGGCAGCAUAUUCAAGUAUUAGUUGCAAGUUCUGAAAUUUGCAGGUUUGCUGAAGCUCUGCAGGUUAUGAAAUUUCAGAAAAGAAUGUUAAAAGGUGGCUUGAAAUGAUAAAGUAUAGAAGUGAGUCAGUGAAUUCGUCAAGAAGAAACUGGGAGAGAGGCUGCAGGCGUUGCAGGGCUGUCUCAAAGUCUUCUCACUUCAAGAAGCUUUGUGAAACUACAGUUUAUACAUCAUGGUAGUUGGGAUCAUCUUCAAGCAAGUACAAGCAACUGAUAGAUACUCUAAAGAAGGGACCAAUUGCAUAGUCUUCUCAGAAUGCAUUUGGAAGAUAUCAACAAGUGUUAUCUUGGUUAAAUAUACACUCCAUCAUGGGAAAUGUUUCAGAAUCUAAGAACAUUUAUGAUGCAAGAUCAAGUGUUGAUGGUUUCUACUUACUUUGAAAAGUAGUAGAAUGGGUUUUUUCAGCUAGGAUUAACUUCAUGAGCUCAAGAGGUGAAGUUUAAGGGGCUGUAAAGACGUGUCUCUUACGGGUCAUUGGUUCAGUGAAGUUGGGACGGUUAAAGAUGACUAACAGGGGGUUUUAAACGCUGUUGGUAAAGGUCUGUUUAAACAGAAGAAGUGAACAACAGAAUGUAUCGAGAGUCUCCCUAAUAUCGAGUGUUGGGUGGCGUGUCUUGUUAAGGUUUUAACAACGGUACAAGCGGAUGUUCUAGAAUGGUCUGAUUAAACGGGUUUCUGAAAGGAAGUUUCAGGUUUCUACAAUGGUGUAAGCUGUUAUGGAGGUUUUGGUUACAUGAUGAAUCAAAAGGGGUUUCAAGUCUGAAGCAAAGUCGGUUCUGUUUUUGCAUAUGAUUCAAGUUAUUUCUCAGUAAGGUUUGUCUCAAUGCGCAUGAGGAAAUCUUAGAAGCUGGAAACGAAUCAUAAAGGCAAAGGGUAAAUGAGUUCAGUCACUACAACAGAUGUGGUGAGAACUGAAGCUGCAGGAUAUUUUGUGUGAUUUGAAAAUCAUAAGUGGUGGAGCUUAUGAAGAAGAACUCUAUUGGGUUUAACAGGUUUGGUGGAGUUUUCUCUUUAAACUUGUUAAUAGAGUUUGCUGACUGGUUAGUAUCAAGACUACAAAGGCACGAAGAGGUCAAUAUGAGUUGAGGCAAAACACUUGUGUGUUUGAGGCUGGUUUUAUGACUCAGUUUGGUAAGUGUUGCAGGUCUUGUGGUUGGAUCAGUUUGUUGAGUGUUUGGUCUGCAGAAUUCGUAAAUUAUGCAGAGUCAUUGGAGUUGCAGGUUUUAGAACUGGUGUUAAAAGGUUCUUGAGUGCUGCUCUUGGUCAAAUUCUCAAGAAAGGACUCGAGUUGGUUUUGUGUAAUCAAACCAAGGUGGAGUUUAAUGCCUAUCUCUGUGGUGAAACAAAAGCCAAAUGUCUGGAAGGUUUCACUGUGAAACGUAACGACAACAUCGUGAAGUUUGGAUUUAUGAAGAAAGUCUAAACUGGGAUCGGGAAUCAAUCAGAGGAUUGAGAUCUAAGGUAUUCUCUCUAAGAAAGUGUGUGCAUUCAUUUGGCUUGUUCAUCUUCGUCUCAGGUGGAGAUUUGUGGAGUUGAGUCUUGCUAAACAAGCAAAUGAUGACAAGGCUAACUCAAAGAGUAACUCAGAUUGAUGCAAAUAUAACCAUAGUUAGUUCAAGCUUUUGGGACCACAAACAAAGUUGCUGGUUUCGUCAAAAGAGAGAGCUGUGAGUUGUCUUGUAGUGAAUUCAAUUGUGUGACUGUGGUGGUGUAUACGUUUGGUUACGUAUAAGGUGACAGCUUUGCAAUUAGGGUUGGUACACAAGGUGUGAUGUCUCCAUCUAUAAAGAGGAACAUUAUGCAGAGAGAAGAAGUGUGAUGUAAUGAUGUAGUGAUGCGAGUUGCAUAAAGAGAGGAAAACAGAGUGGGGAAACACUAAGAGGGAAAGUGAGCUUUGUAUAUUGUCAGGGGUGGGUGAGGGAAACAAGCUGUAAACUCUUUCAAGUUGUUUAGUGGAUUCCGGGACACCGUUCCCGGCGAGACGUAGGCUAUACCGGUUUGGUAUAGCUGAACUCGUUAAACUGUGUUUGUGUGCCCCUUAUUCCUUUUCUGCAUCAUUCUCUGCAUUCACCAUUAUCUUCUUAUCAUCUCUGUUUCAGUCUUGCAUAUUUCCCAAAGAUUCACUUCUAAGUUUAGCUUGAAACCGUAAUAGAUAAGCAAGCAACAAGCUUAAGCCUUGAUAAGGUUGGAUUAACCUUAACAUACUCUUUUGAAGACUACUGGUCCGGUCCGUGAUGACUAGUUACAUUAAAAUCUGAAAACACGAAAACAUAGUAUAGUUAGGCAUUCUCGAAAAGAAGAAGAGUAGAUACAACUUGUUAGUCUUGAGAUGAGUGAGCACAGGAUAUGGAAUUCAAUAAUUUGUAAGCACAAUUCAUCUGACAAAUACAAAAGACAAGUGAAUUGAUAAUAAUAAUAAUAAUGUAUAUUUGUUUGCUUUGUUUUUAUUGGGUUAUAAGACGACCAAAUUAAAAAUCUUUCCGAACCUAAGAUUUAUGUAUUUUAAAAAUAUAACUUAAAAU
rnacentral:lncRNA from 1 species